CCAAGAUCAAAAUGUUGAAAAUUAAACAUUUAUUUGUGAGGAUCAUGACCAAAAGGCAGACAAUGCCAAGAUACCAAAUUUGUAAGCAUGAAACAAAAACAUGGAAUUGCAGUUGAGUUGAUAACCCAUCUUACAUUUCUCUGAAAUGCACUUAAAUUCCUUCAGACUAUACAAAAUGGAAGAGAGAUGAUUUGACAAACUGAAUCCUCAUCUCUCUUCCAUUUUGUAAACACUUCACAUUUUCAACAAACAGUUCAGUGACGUUCAGACUGGAGCACAAAUUGUAAACAAAAUCCAUCAAAUACACUUCCCCACAACAGACAAUGUAUAAAUUUUGAUGGAAUUAUAAUUUUUUGGCAGUCACUAUUAAGCAAUCACAAAUAAAAUAAGUGUGAUAUUUUAAUAGAAAAAAGAAAAAAAAAAUUUAAGCAACAAAUCACACACAGAACCUACAUUAGAAAUCAAAUAUCUACACAAGUUAAAUAGGCACAAGACUUUAGUUGUGUCAUUUAGUUAAUAAGAAAGGAGACUUUGGUUUUGUAAUGACCCAAGGAUGAGUUCAAAACAGAAAGCUCAGCAGUUCAUUUGGUUUUGCAAAACCAGUGGAUGCACUGACCAUUUGUAAAACCUGACUUCCACUGCAGUCACAUCUCUACCUUCAAGUUCAAAGUCAUGAGAUAUGAUAUGAUAAUGGCAAGCAAAUAAAGAAGCUUUUAUUACAGUAAAUCAGCUUUAACGCUUUUGUUGGACAGACACCCAAAGAAUCCCCUUUGUUGGUUUUCUAACUUUUCUUUUUCUUUUUUCCCUUUUUUUUUAUAUCAGGAACAACAAAUUCGUAUAAAUGAAUUAGUAAGUACAAUAAAUGACAAGAUAUCCUUCCAAAAAAAUAUAAAUAAAAAGAAGAAAAAAACCUGAUAAAAAUGUAAAAACAAAUCUUAAACACUCCAAGAGACAAUUGAAAUAAGCUGCACAGAAAAAUAUUCUCUUGAACAAAAAGACAACUGAUUUACAUGUUCAUCAUGAAUCAUAAAAUAGAACCAAAUAAAUCAAAACAUAUUCAGUUUGAUCGAUAUAGAGGAAGAAGAAAGGUGUCCCUCCUAUGACAUAGGAUAUGAUCACAAGUCCAGCCAAGGCUCAUGUAGACAUUUAGGGUCUAUUUCGGAACAAUUUUUAAGAACAGUUUUCUAUUUCCCAGAACAAAAAACACAGAAAGCACAUUUGACAACCAAAAACUAUUUUUUGUUUUCUGUUCUUAAGAAUAGAGAACAAGA
rnacentral:lncRNA from 1 species